AGAGUUUGAUCAUGGCUCAGAAUGAACGCUGGCGGCGUGCUUAACACAUGCAAGUCGAACGAGAACUCUUUAGCUUGCUAAAGAUAGUAAAGUGGCGCACGGGUGAGUAACGCGUGGGUAAUCUACCUCUGAAUUGGGGAUAACAUUGCGAAAGCGAUGCUAAUACCGAAUAAUAUCUUUUAAGGUAAUCCUUUUAAGAUCAAAGGUGGUCUCUACAUGUAAACUACUGUUUGGAGAUGAGCCCGCGUACCAUUAGCUUGUUGGUAGGGUAACGGCUUACCAAGGCUUCGAUGGUUAGCUGGUCUGAGAGGAUGACCAGCCACACUGGAACUGACACACGGUCCAGACUCCUACGGGAGGCAGCAGUGAGGAAUUUUGCGCAAUGGGGGAAACCCUGACGCAGCAACGCCGCGUGAGUGAUGAAGGCUUUCGAGUCGUAAAGCUCUGUCAAGUGGGAAGAACCCGGAGGAUGCUAAUAUCGUCUUCCGCUGACGGUACCACUGAAGGAAGCACCGGCUAACUCCGUGCCAGCAGCCGCGGUAAUACGGGGGGUGCAAGCGUUAUUCGGAUUUAUUGGGCGUAAAGGGCGCGUAGGCGGCCUCAUAAGUCAGAUGUGAAAGCCCGGGGCUUAACCCCGGAAGUGCAUUUGAAACUAUGGGGCUUGAGUAUGGGAGAGGGAAGUGGAAUUCCUGGUGUAGAGGUGAAAUUCGUAGAUAUCAGGAGGAACACCGGUGGCGAAGGCGACUUCCUGGACCAAUACUGACGCUGAGGCGCGAAGGCGUGGGGAGCAAACAGGAUUAGAUACCCUAGUAGUCC
rnacentral:rRNA from 1 species